GCCUACGACCAUAUCACCCUGAAUGCGCCCGAUCUCGUCUGAUCUCGGAAGCUAAGCAUGGUCGAGCCUGGUUACUACGUGGAUGGGAGACUGCCUGGGAAUACCAGGUGUUGUAGGCU
rnacentral:rRNA from 1 species